AAAUAUUGGGACAUAUAAAAAAAGACAACUCUGUUCCGCAGAGUAGCUGUUGACAUUAUAGUUGUGCAGGCACUUUGUUGACUUUAGAGAACCUCGGGCCAAUCGCACAUCCCUGUGGCGGCGACUUUGCAUUCGGAUGUCAUCCAUAUCAACUUUCGAUGGCAGUUUCUGCGCCUACCAUGGCGACCAUGAGUAACAGGGAAUCCGGGUUCCAUUCCGUACAGGGAACCUGAGAAACGGCUACCACAUGCAAGAAAGGCAUCAGGCGCGCAAAUGACCCACUCCCGAUGAGGGUAGGUAGUGAU